UACGAAGGGGGCUAGCGUUGCUCGGAAUCACUGGGCGUAAAGCGUGCGCAGGCGGCGCGUUAAGACAGGUGUGAAAGCCCCGAGCUUUAACUUGGGAAUUGCGCUUGUGACUGGCGAGCUGGAGUGUGGCAGAGGGAGGUGGAAUUCCACGUGUAGCAGUGAAAUGCGUAGAGAUGUGGAGGAACACCGAUGGCGAAGGCAGCCUCCUGGGCCAGCACUGACGCUCAUGCACGAAAGCGUGGGGAGCAAACAGG
rnacentral:rRNA from 1 species